AUGUCGCAAUUUUGGUGGGGUGACGAGGACAAUCAGAAAAGGAUGCAUUGGAUGUCGUGGUGGAAGAUGUGUGUUCCAAAAGACCAAGGAGGAAUGGGAAUCCGAGAUAUAUAUUGUUUCAAUUUUGCUUUGCUAGCCAAGCAAGUGUGGCGUUUGCUUGAUAAUCCAGAAUCUUUAUGUGCCACAAUCUUGAGCUAA
rnacentral:rRNA from 1 species